rnacentral:rRNA from 1 species
GGACGGGUGAGUCACGCGUGGGAACGUGCCCUCUGGUUCGGAAUAACUCAGGGAAACUUGAGCUAAUACCGGAUACGCCCUUUUGGGGAAAGGCUUGCUGCCGGAGGAUCGGCCCGCGUCUGAUUAGCUAGUUGGUGGGGUAACGGCCUACCAAGGCGACGAUCAGUAGCUGGUCUGAGAGGAUGAUCAGCCACACUGGGACUGAGACACGGCCCAGACUCCUACGGGAGGCAGCAGUGGGGAAUAUUGGACAAUGGGCGAAAGCCUGAUCCAGCAAUGCCGCGUGAGUGAUGAAGGCCUUAGGGUUGUAAAGCUCUUUUACCCGGGAUGAUAAUGACAGUACCGGGAGAAUAAGCUCCGGCUAACUCCGUGCCAGCAGCCGCGGUAAU